GAUGAACGCUGGCGGCGUACCUAAUACAUGCAAGUCGAGCGAACAGACGAGGAGCUUGCUCCUCUGACGUUAGCGGCGGACGGGUGAGUAACACGUGGAUAACCUACCUAUAAGACUGGGAUAACUUCGGGAAACCGGAGCUAAUACCGGAUAAUAUAUUGAACCGCAUGGUUCAAUAGUGAAAGACGGUUUUGCUGUCACUUAUAGAUGGAUCCGCGCCGCAUUAGCUAGUUGGUAAGGUAACGGCUUACCAAGGCGACGAUGCGUAGCCGACCUGAGAGGGUGAUCGGCCACACUGGAACUGAGACACGGUCCAGACUCCUACGGGAGGCAGCAGUAGGGAAUCUUCCGCAAUGGGCGAAAGCUUGACGGAGCAACGCCGCGUGAGUGAUGAAGGUCUUCGGAUCGUAAAACUCUGUUAUUAGGGAAGAACAAAUGUGUAAGUAACUAUGCACGUCUUGACGGUACCUAAUCAGAAAGCCACGGCUAACUACGUG
rnacentral:rRNA from 1 species